AGAGUUUGAUCCUGGCUCAGAUUGAACGCUGGCGGCAUGCUUUACACAUGCAAGUCGGACGGCAGCGGGGAGUGCUUGCACUCUGCCGGCGAGUGGCGAACGGGUGAGUAAUGCAUCGGAACGUACCGAGUAAUGGGGGAUAACUGUCCGAAAGGACAGCUAAUACCGCAUACGCCCUGAGGGGGAAAGCGGGGGAUCUUAGGACCUCGCGUUAUUCGAGCGGCCGAUGUCUGAUUAGCUAGUUGGUGGGGUAAAGGCCUACCAAGGCGACGAUCAGUAGCGGGUCUGAGAGGAUGAUCCGCCACACUGGGACUGAGACACGGCCCAGACUCCUACGGGAGGCAGCAGUGGGGAAUUUUGGACAAUGGGCGCAAGCCUGAUCCAGCCAUGCCGCGUGUCUGAAGAAGGCCUUCGGGUUGUAAAGGACUUUUGUUAGGGAAGAAAAAGGAGCGGUUAAUACCCGUUUCUGCUGACGGUACCUAAAGAAUAAGCACCGGCUAACUACGUGCCAGCAGCCGCGGUAAUACGUAGGGUGCGAGCGUUAAUCGGAAUUACUGGGCGUAAAGCGAGCGCAGACGGUUACUUAAGCAGGAUGUGAAAUCCCCGGGCUCAACCUGGGAACUGCGUUCUGAACUGGGUAGCUAGAGUAUGUCAGAGGGGGGUAGAAUUCCACGUGUAGCAGUGAAAUGCGUAGAGAUGUGGAGGAAUACCGAUGGCGAAGGCAGCCCCCUGGGAUAAUACUGACGUUCAUGCUCGAAAGCGUGGGUAGCAAACAGGAUUAGAUACCCUGGUAGUCCACGCCCUAAACGAUGUCGAUUAGCU
rnacentral:rRNA from 1 species